UUCACUCUAACAAACUCAUCAGCUCUAUGAGGUUGAGAAUGCUGCUCUGCUGCUCUGCUGCUUUUGUGUUGACAGAGUAAAAAAAAAAAGCAGCAAGGCAAAACAGAGACCCAAGCUCGGGCAUAUGCCCAGGAAUAUAGCCGGAGAGCUGUGUGUGCCAGAAGACAGCUUGAGACAGCAGUGCAAGAGCAGAAGGUGGCCGCUUCAUCUGGUCACACAGGAGGGAAAUGUGAAGCAUAUGCAACACCAUGCGUGGCCGGGCAGCACAGCACAGCAAGAGACUUCCCUUAGUUAGAGAUAAGGUGACACAUCAUGCCAGCUGAGAGCCUCUGCACCUGCACCAGCGCGACUCGGCCCGACGCGCCUUUGGAUAGCGACGCCGGCGUAAAACCAAACCCCAGAAUAUAGCUCGUUGACACCGCCCCCGCUCGAAUGUCAUUGGUGGACGUGGGAGGGUUGAUGGGUGUGGAUUGGCUACCGCUGCGUCGUUCGUGAGGUAAAAGGCGCUCAGCCUCCGCUUCAAGGGAACUCUGGUUGAAAGCUGCAGGAGUGCCGGUCACUGAUGCUGGAGUACUCAAAGGUCUUCUCCCAAACUCCAGCGCAUCGGUCAUGUUCCUCAGCAGCACUUUACGCAAAGCAUCUGAGGAUCUGUUCGGGGAAACUGUAGCGUCAGGACAAGUGGUGAAAUCUAAAAGUACAGAGAAAAGUCACACCUUCUCUGUUUUAACACCUUCUUCAAACGUAGAGCCCUUUUUAACAUGUGAUCACAUGCUGUUCAAAUGAUUUUAGAUGUUUUUCCGAAUGGGAUCACAUUUUACCCAAGAAAGCCACACGUGA